rnacentral:rRNA from 1 species
UACGUAGGGUGCAAGCGUUGUCCGGAAUUAUUGGGCGUAAAGAGCUCGUAGGCGGUUUGUCGCGUCUGCUGUGAAAACUCGGGGCUUAACCCCGGGCCUGCAGUGGGUACGGGCAGACUAGAGUGCGGUAGGGGAGACUGGAAUUCCUGGUGUAGCGGUGAAAUGCGUAGAUAUCGGGAGGAACACCAGUGGCGAAGGCGGCUUCCUGGCCUGUUCUUGACGCUGAGGCGCGAAAGCUAGGGGAGCAAACGGG